GCUCAUGUGGCCUAGUUGGCUAAGGCACCGCAUUGUCAAUGCGGAGAUCGCGGGUUCGAGUCCCGUCGUGAGCGC
rnacentral:tRNA from 1 species